UACAGAGGGUGCAAGCGUUGUCCGGAAUUAUUGGGCGUAAAGAGCUCGUAGGCGGUUUGUUGCGUCGGCUGUGAAAUCCCGAGGCUCAACCUCGGGUCUGCAGUCGAUACGAGCAAACUAGAGUGUUGCAGGGGAGACUGGAAUUCCUGGUGUAGCGGUGAAAUGCGCAGAUAUCAGGAGGAACACCGGUGGCGAAGGCGGGUCUCUGGGCAACAACUGACGCUGAGGAGCGAAAGCGUGGGGAGCGAACAGG
rnacentral:rRNA from 1 species